rnacentral:rRNA from 1 species
GUGUCAGCAGCCGCGGUAAUACGUAGGUGGCAAGCGUUGUCCGGAAUUAUUGGGCGUAAAGGAUGCGUAGGCGGCAAUUUAAGUGGGAUGUGAAAUACCUGGGCUCAACUCAGGAAUGGCAUUCCAUACUGGACUGCUAGAGUGCAGGAGAGGAAAGUGGAAUUCCCAGUGUAGCGGUGAAAUGCGUAGAGAUUGGGAGGAACACCAGUGGCGAAGGCGACUUUCUGGACUGUAACUGACGCUGAGGCAUGAAAGCGUGGGGAGCAAACAGGAUUAGAUACCCUGGUAGUCCACGCUGUAAACGAUGAGUACUAGGUGUAGGGUCUUCCAGGCUCUGUGCCGCAGUUAACACAUUAAGUACUCCGCCUGGGAAGUACGGUCGCAAGACUAAA